UACGUAGGGUGCGAGCGUUGUCCGGAAUUAUUGGGCGUAAAGGGCGCGUAGGCGGCCACGCACGUCCGUUGUGAAAUCGCCCGGCUCAACUGGGCGGGGUCAGCGGAUACGGUGUGGCUCGAGCAAGCUAGGGGGCAAUGGAAUUCCCGGUGUAGUGGUGGAAUGCGUAGAUAUCGGGAGGAACACCAGUGGCGAAGGCGGUUGCCUGGAGCUUUGCUGACGCUGAGGCGCGAAAGCGUGGGGAGCGAUCCGG
rnacentral:rRNA from 1 species